rnacentral:rRNA from 1 species
CCUACGGGAGGCAGCAGUGAGGAAUAUUGGUCAAUGGACGAGAGUCUGAACCAGCCAAGUAGCGUGAAGGAUGACUGCCCUAUGGGUUGUAAACUUCUUUUAUAUGGGAAUAAAAUGUUCCACGUGUGGGAUUUUGUAUGUACCAUAUGAAUAAGGAUCGGCUAACUCCGUGCCAGCAGCCGCGGUAAUACGGAGGAUCCGAGCGUUAUCCGGAUUUAUUGGGUUUAAAGGGAGCGUAGGUGGAUGGUUAAGUCAGUUGUGAAAGUUUGCGGCUCAACCGUAAAAUUGCAGUUGAAACUGGCAGUCUUGAGUACAGUAGAGGUAGGCGGAAUUCGUGGUGUAGCGGUGAAAUGCUUAGAUAUCACGCAGAACUCCGAUUGCGAAGGCAGUUCACUGGACUGCAACUGACACUGAGGCUCGAAAGUGUGGGUAUCAAACAGGAUUAGAUACCCCUGUAGUC